UGAGGAACCCGCACAAACAGUUGUCUUCACCAUAUGAGGAGAGAAUUUCUGCAUUUCAUUUUCUAUUGCCUGUCGCAAAAUGCCACUACACGGUCAUCAAGAUGCACCAUCGAUUUUGGAUGCAUGUAACUUGCUCAAGAUAUACUGAUCUUCAAUAAAAUAUGUGCUUUGUGCUUUCCCUUUCCA